UAGAGGAAGUAAAAGUCGUAACAAGGUUUCCGUAGGUGAACCUGCGGAAGGAUCAUUACUGAAGAAACAAGGGUUUUGAGACUGCGUCCUUCAAUUGGGCGUGUGCUCGACUCUUACUCUUUCAUAUCCCAUACACACCUUUGUGCACCAAGGGGACCCUUGUGUCCCCCUUUUUUUCAUAAAUACCGAGUUAUAUGCAUGUAUAGUUUGUAUACUCUACGGAGUUAUUAUAAAUACAACUUUCAACAACGGAUCUCUUGGCUUUCGCAUCGAUGAAGAACGCAGCGAACGUGCGAAACGUAAUGUGAAUUGCAGAAUUCAGUGAAUCAUCGAAUCUUUGAACGCAUCUUGCGCUCCUUGGUAUUCCGAGGAGCAUGCCUGUUUGAGUGUCGUGAAUAACUCUCAAUUUCAAAUAUUUUUUUAAAAAAAGAAUAUCUGACAUUGGACUUGGGCGUUGUCGUGUUUCUACGACUCGUCCUAAAUGCAUUAGCGAUCUGCCCUGAUCACACACAAUGUGAUAAGUAAAAAAUAAAGCAUUGUUAUGGUUGGGUUUGAAAGAUGGCUUCUAACCGUCGUAAUGACAAAUAAAAGACCAUGUCGUUUGACCUCAAAUCAGGCAGGACUACCCGCUGAACUUAAGCAUAUCAAUAAGCGGAGGAAAAGAAACUAACAAGGAUUCCCCUAGUAACGGCGAGUGAAGAGGGAAAAGCUCAAAUUUAAAAUCUGGCGGUCUACGGCCGUCCGAGUUGUAAUCUAGAGAAGUGUUUUCCGCGCUGGACCGUGUACAAGUCCUUUGGAACAAGGCGUCAUAGAGGGUGAGAAUCCCGUCUACGACACGGACUGCCAAGCGCUUUGUGAUACACUCUCAACGAGUCGAGUUGUUUGGGAAUGCAGCUCAAAAUGGGUGGUAAAUUCCAUCUAAAGCUAAAUAUUGGCGAAAGACCGAUAGCGAACAAGUACCGUGAGGGAAAGAUGAAAAGCACUUUGGAAAGAGAGUUAAACAGUACGUGAAAUUGUUGAAAGGGAAACGCUUGAAGUCAGUCGCGUCUUCAGAAAUUCAGCUGGGCUUCUGCCUAGUGUACUUUUCUGUGGGACGGGCCAGCAUCAGUUUUGGCUGCCAGAAAAAGGUGGGAGGAAGGUGGCACCUCCGGGUGUGUUAUAGCCUCUGAUCGUAUGUGGCAGCCGGGAUUGAGGACCGCAGCACGCCUUUAUGGCCGGGGUUCGCCCACGUAACGUGCUUAGGAUGCUGGCGUAAUGGCUUUAAACGACCCGUCUUGAAACACGGACCAAGGAGUCUAACAUGCCUGCGAGUAUUUGGGUGGCAAACCCAUAUGCGGAAUGAAAGUGAACAGUUGGGACUUCUGUCAUGGAAGGCACCGACGCCCGGACCAGACCUAUUGUGACGGAUCCGAGGUAGAGCAUGUAUGUUGGGACCCGAAAGAUGGUGAACUAUGCCUGAGUAGGGUGAAGCCAGAGGAAACUCUGGUGGAGGCUCGUAGCGAUUCUGACGUGCAAAUCGAUCGUCGAACUUGGGUAUAGGGGCGAAAGACUAAUCGAACCAUCUAGUAGCUGGUUCCUGCCGAAGUUUCCCUCAGGAUAGCAGAGACUCAUUAUCAGUUUUAUGUGGUAAAGCGAAUGAUUAGGGGCCUUGGGGUUGAAACAACCUUAACCCAUUCUCAAACUUUAAAUAUGUAAGAACGACGCGUCGCUUGAUUGGACCCGUCGGUGAAUGAGAGUCUCUAGUGGGCCAUUUUUGGUAAGCAGAACUGGCGAUGCGGGAUGAACCGAUCGUGAGGUUAAGGUGCCGGAAUACACGCUCAUCAGACACCACAAAAUGUGUGAGUUCAUCUAGACAGCAGGACGGUGGCCAUGGAAGUCGGAACCCGCUAAGGAGUGUGUAACAACUCACCUGCCGAAUGAACUUGCCAUGAAAAUGGAUGGCGCUCAAGCGUGUUACCCAUACCUCACCGUCAGCGUUAAAGUGACGCGCUGACGAGUAGGCAGGCGUGGAGGUCCGUGAAGCAGCCUAGGCAGUGAUGCUGGGUGAAACGGCCUCUAGUGCAGAUCUG
rnacentral:rRNA from 1 species